GAUGAACGCUGGCGGCGUGCCUAACACAUGCAAGUCGAACGGUGAAGGGGAGCUUGCUCCUCGGGACAGUGGCGGACGGGUGAGUAACACGUGAGCAACCUGGCUCUAAGAGGGGGUCACCAGUUGAAAACGAUAGCAAAUACAGCAUGACGUUUCUGGAGGACAACUUCACGCUACCGAAAAUUUCAUCGCUUAGAGAUGGGCUCGCGUCUGAUUAGAUAGUUGGCGGGGUAACGGCCCACCAAGUCGACGAUCACUAGCCGGACUGAGAGGUUGACCGGCCACAUUGGGACUGAGACACGGCCCAGACUCCUACGGGAGGCAGCAGUGGGGGAUAUUGGACAAUGGGGGCAACCCUGAUCCAGCGACGCCGCGUGAGUGAAGAAGGUUUUCGGUAUGUAAACCUCUGUUAGCAGAGAAGAAAAUGACGGUACCCGAUUAGAAAGCCACGGCUAACUACGUG
rnacentral:rRNA from 1 species